rnacentral:rRNA from 1 species
UACGUAGGUGGCAAGCGUUAUCCGGAAUUACUGGGCGUAAAGCGCACGCAGGCGGUCUUUUAAGUUUGACGUGAAAGCUCCCGGCUUAACUGGGAGAGGUCGUUGAAGACUGGAAGACUUGAGGCAAUGAGAGGGGUGUAGAAUUCCCGGUGUAGUGGUGGAAUGCGUAGAUAUCGGGAGGAACACCAAUGGCGAAGGCAGCUUGCUGGGACGGUACUGACGCUGAGGCGCGAAAGCGUGGGGAGCAAACAGG